rnacentral:rRNA from 1 species
UGGUCAAGUUAUUAAGGGUGCAGGGCGGAUGCCUUGGCACUAGGAGCCGAUGAAGGACGUGAUAAGCUGCGAUAAGCUUCGGGGAGUUGCACGUAAACUUUGAUCCGAAGAUUUCCGAAUGAGGAAACUCACUUAGAGUAAUGUCUAAGUAUCAUUAAGUGAAUACAUAGCUUAAUGAGGGGAACUCAGGGAACUGAAACAUCUAAGUACCUGAAGGAAGAGAAAGAAAUUCGAUUCCGUAAGUAGCGGCGAGCGAACGCGGAUUAGCCCAAACCAAUAAAGUUUUCUUUGUUGGGGUUGCGGACAUAUCAUAACGAAGAGGUAUCGUAAUUGAAGAGGUUUGGAAAGACCCACCACAGAAGGUAAUAGUCCUGUAUGUUAAACGAGAAGACUUUAGAUAUGAUCCAGAGUACCACGGGACACGUGAAACCCUGUGGGAAGCAGGAGGGACCACCCUCCAAGGCUAAAUACUAACUAGUGACCGAUAGCGUAUAGUACCGUGAGGGAAAGGUGAAAAGAACCCCGGGAGGGGAGUGAAAUAGAACCUGAAACCCUGCACUUACAAGCUGUGGAAGCACAUUUCUUGUGUGACCGCGUACUUUUUGUAGAACGGGCCAACGAGUUACGUUAAGUAGCAAGGUUAAGCACUUAAGGUGCGGAGCCGUAGCGAAAGCGAGUUUUAACUGAGCGUUCAGUUACUUGACGUAGACCCGAAACCGGGCGACCUACCCAUGAGCAGGAUGAAGCGAAAGUAAAAUUUCGUGGAGGUCCGAACCCACGAGCG